UACGGAGGGGGCAAGCGUUAUCCGGAUUCACUGGGUUUAAAGGGUGCGUAGGUGGAUUAGUAAGUCAGUGGUGAAAUCUCCGGGCUUAACCCGGAAACUGCCAUUGAUACUAUUAGUCUUGAAUACCGUGGAGGUCAGCGGAAUAUGUCAUGUAGCGGUGAAAUGCUUAGAUAUGACAUAGAACACCAAUUGCGAAGGCAGCUGGCUACACGAGCAUUGACACUCAGGCACGAAAGCGUGGGGAUCAAACAGG
rnacentral:rRNA from 1 species